CUGUUUGGCCAGGGGUGCGAAUUUUUCGCUGAGAAAAUGCAACUGCAUUUAACCCUUUGAACCUGUCUGAUUAAUAUCAACGUAGGAAGGCUGUCAUGAAUGCAC
rnacentral:ncRNA from 2 species